UACGGGGGGGGCAAGCGUUGUUCGGAAUUACUGGGCGUAAAGGGUUCGUAGGUGGCCAACUAAGUCAGACGUGAAAUCCCUCAGCUUAACUGGGGAACUGCGUCUGAGACUGGAUGGCUUGAGUGCAGGAGAGGAACGCGGAAUUCCAGGUGUAGCGGUGAAAUGCGUAGAUAUCUGGAGGAACACCGGUGGCGAAGGCGGCGUUCUGGACUGCAACUGACACUGAGAGACGAAAGCCAGGGGAGCAAACGGG
rnacentral:rRNA from 1 species